CCCAGUCUAGAGAUCCGCGAGUGCUAGUCGUGGCCUUGGCAGAGUUCAUUGGGCCAUCCUGCACAUGCCAACCGGCAUCUUGCUGGGCGCCUCUUGUGCAGAGCUGAACAGGCCGGCCUCUCCCUUCCAGGAGCUGGGGCUCUAGUGCCUUGAGAACUGCAAACGUUUGCGCGCAGGUAAGCGGAUGCCCCAGUGACGACAGUCGCGCCCACGGGACGAACGGAUUGAGGGGGGACAGGAGAGCAACUUCCGACAGAAGCUGCGACGCGAGCGCGGACGUUGUGAAAAUGGCACGAAAGUGGGUGCUCGGUGGCUGUCGCGGCGCGCCUCCCCAGCCGGGGUCGCUGUGCAGCCGCAGAGAGAUGCGCGCGCUCGAGAGCAGCCGCACCGCGGCGCCUUCAUUCGCCCGACGCGACACCGUGCGCUCCUCGGUGCUCAAGCCUACGGGACUUCGCAGAUCCUCACCGCUUAUCUAAAAGCCGCCGAAGGCUUUUGCCUUUACAAACCGAGAGUCAAUGCUUACCACCCCCAUCCCCGGUCCAUUUAGUACUUGCCCGUUUUAGGGAUGGAAACUAUUCACCCAAACCCAGGGUAAGUGGUGGGGGCGCUCAUUCCUCUGGGCAGCCUAUUUAAAGGGGGCUUCCUUCCCCGUAGGUCCCUGGCGAUGGGAUUGGUACUCUUCCCUCGACCCCAGCCUCACCACGCACCGAGUGAACAACAUUCCAGCCCAGUGCCGCAGGCCUGAAGAAGAGCCUCGACAAUCCGUGUUUCCGAAUGUCCAGGCACAGAAGAAUCUCGAGGCACGAAGAAAGUUCCUGCCCAUCUCGACAGAACAGUGCGACUGUGAAUUGGUUAGACUGGCUAAUAACUUAAUGUGGAUCACAAUUCCUUAAGCUGCGUUCACUUUUUACAACCAGCAAGAGCAGACACAGAUCUGCUGACUCCUGAGCUUGGUGGAAGAUUCUAGGAUACUGUUUUCUUGUGGUAACUGGAGCUGUUCAAAGAUCACCUUACGUCUUUGUGACCAUGGUAGCAGAGACAAGAGAACGUCAUCUUCUUUAUUCUCACCUGCCAAAGCAGGAAUGGAUGAAAAUGGUUGGAGAAAUGGGAGAGAACGGCCUCAUGAGGACACCUGGGCACAUCAGGUUCACUACCAGUUUCUUCAUUUGGAUCUAGUUUGGUGAAUAUGGAGGAUGAAGGUUACCCUUCUUGGCCUUUGAAUAUCACAUUCGCAAAAUGAGGAAAGGAAUUCUUCAGGACUGAAAAUAAGGCUUGAGUAAAUCGACACACUUCAAUAUUGCUGGUCACCACAGGAAAUUAUGGUAGCAAUCAAGGGAGUAGUUGGCAUGGGAAAACUUCACUUGUUAUUUGUAGAGUAGUUAUAGGACAGCUUAAGUGUCAUAUUCUGGGUGGCUUGUGGUUCAUGGGUUAGACUGCCU